GCUUGUCUCAAAGAUUAAGCCAUGCAUGUCUAAGUAUAAAUAGUAUACAGUGAAACUGCGAAUGGCUCAUUAAAACAGUUAUAGUUUAUUUGAUAAUUGAAUGCUACAUGGAUAACCGUGGUAAUUCUAGAGCUAAUACAUGCUGUAAAGCCUGACUUUUUGAAGGGCUGUAUUUAUUAGAUAUUAAACCAAUAGCCGCAAGGCUGUUGUGAUGAUUCAUAAUAACUGAUCGAAGCGAAGACUCUUCGCUAAAUCAUUCAAGUUUCUGCCCUAUCAGCUUUCGAUGGUAGUGUAUUGGACUACCAUGGCAAUCACGGGUAACGGGGAAUUAGGGUUCGAUUCCGGAGAGGGAGCCUGAGAAACGGCUACCACUUCUAAGGAAGGCAGCAGG
rnacentral:rRNA from 1 species